rnacentral:tRNA from 1 species
UUUAGGGAGACCUCCCAACUCAAUGGAUUGAACAGGAAUAAGGUUGGAAACAGCCAAGUUUAUAAGUAAGUUCAGAGUUGGUCAUCCCAAAGGUCGUUCAGAUAUAUGUGUUGGCUUCCAGACUAUUUGGUUCGGUUCAUGGGCUAUUAGCUCAGGUGGUUAGAGCGCACCCCUGAUAAGGGUGAGGUCCCUGGUUCGAGUCCAGGAUGGCCCACCUUAUUUAACUUGAGCAAUUGAGUUAGAGAAACAAGGGGGUUUAGCUCAGUUGGUAGAGCGCCUGCUUUGCAAGCAGGAUGUCAACGGUUCGAGUCCGUUAACCUCCACUGAGAUAUAGAAGCGAAAUGAGCCGAAGGAAGUUAGAAGAGAACUUCAGCAAUUAUUCUUGUAAUGGUACAGGAAUAACUGCUGGAUUUAGAUUCAGCAAAGAACCUUGAAAACUGCAUAGAGAAGAAUGUCAGGUAGAAACGAUAGUUUCGAGCGAUAGACAAAGGGUGGCGAAGUAAUUCGGUGCUUGCUGUUUAGCGUUAGAGACAAAUCAGAUACAGACACCAAUGUAAGUUUGCGAAAAAGU